UCUGACGGAGCAACGCCGCGUGAGUGACGAAGGUUUUCGGAUCGUAAAACUCUGUUGUGAGGGAAGAACAAGUACCACUUAACUACUGGUACCUUGACGGUACCUCACCAGAAAGCCACGGCUAACUACGUGCCAGCAGCCGCGGUAAUACGUAGGUGGCAAGCGUUGUCCGGAAUUAUUGGGCGUAAAGCGCGCGCAGGCGGUCCCUUAAGUCUGAUGUGAAAGCCCACGGCUCAACCGUGGAGGGUCAUUGGAAACUGGGGGACUUGAGUGCAGAAGAGGAAAGUGGAAUUCCACGUGUAGCGGUGAAAUGCGUAGAGAUGUGGAGGAACACCAGUGGCGAAGGCGACUUUCUGGUCUGUAACUGACGCUGAGGCGCGAAAGCGUGGGGAGCAAACAGGAUUAGAUACCCUGGUAGUCCACGCCGUAAACGAUGAGUGCUAAGUGUUAGGGGGUUUCCGCCCCUUAGUGCUGCAGCUAACGCAUUAAGCACUCCGC
rnacentral:rRNA from 1 species